CCAAAAUCUCUACACAGUAACUA
rnacentral:siRNA from 1 species